AUGGCGCCGGGGCCGAGCCGGGCCGGGACGGGCCGGGCGGAGCGCGGAGCCCCCGCACCCGGGCGCCCGCCCGCCCUCAGGCCGCCCCUCCCGCCGCCGCCGCCGCCGCCGCCGCCGCUAUCGCGGCUCGGGCCGCCGCCCCCGGCCCUGGCCCGGUCCCUGCGGCCGCCGCGGCUGCCGUGUCGGGGCAGGAGGGCACCGGGCCGCCCCGCGCCGCAUCCUGGACGCCUUCCCCUCCGCGCCGCCGCCGCUGCUGCCGCCGCCAGCCGAGAGCGCCGCGGCCGGAGCGAGCCUGAAGUAGGGCGGGGAGCGCCGAGGAGGGCCCCCUCCGCGGCCCCUCCCGCCGCGCCUGCGCAGGCGCCGUCUGGGAGGGGGCGGGCGCCCGGCGGAGAGGAUGACGUGAUGCUCUUCGGGCCCCGCGGGCCGCAGCUUCCCAAGCGCCUCCAGAACUCCCUGCCACUUGGGGCUCCCCUUCUACUUCUGAGAAUUCGCAGAUCCAUACCUGAGCCUGUCCUCCUGAGAGAAAGAAGGAAUGAGGAGGAGAGAAAAAUGCCUCCUGGUCCUUGUCUUGGGGUCCUCUUAUUUGGUUUCCCACAAAAGCCACCAGAACUCACAGUGAUAAAGAAGCCCCAAAGAAGAGUCAGCAUCAAGCAGCCAUCUGAUGACCUGUGGCAUGGGGAAGUAUGAAGUUGAGCAAGAGGAGGAAAAGUUGCAGAUAAUGGCCACAAAUGAUGCAACUUUCUCAAAAUGAAGUCUGAUGGGACAAAGGAGCAUGCACAUCAGCAGAGGCUGUAUGGGCAGUAUGCACAUCUGUUGUUCCUUGCUGCUUCAUGGAACUGCCCCUACAGUGUUUGCAAUACUCCAUGAGCAGAGAAUUCUGGUGGACCAGUGAUGCCUGGGAGAUUAGCCAAACUCAAAGCCAGUACAAGAGGCUGGAAAGCUACAAACUGAAAACUAGAGUUCUGCAUGCAAAAUAGAUUCUGCAAAUCAGAUGCACUUGCAAGAGAUUUGUAUGCAAGAGAAACAGAAGCUGUUUUUCCUGCUGCUUUUGGCAGUGUUCCAUGGGCAGGUAGGGUUGUAGAGUUGCCAGUGGUCCUUCAACCUUGAGAAUGACGUGACAGAGUGGCAGUGGCACAAGCAGCAGGCUCUUUCUUCCAAGAUCUAAGAAGCAGCGACAGCAGGUGUGGCAGCUUAGAUCCUGUACUCCUGGGAUCUGGAUUACAGCUAUGGUGGUGAGUUUUUGGACACCAUUUCUGCCAGUUCUGGAGUUUUCUAGGAGUCAUUCUUGGACUUUCAGCCUGCUCCUUCAAACUUUCCAGUGAUUUUGUAAAACCUUAAAUUCCCUAUGUUAAGUCCUUUUUCUCUGUUUGAAAUAAGUAAAACACAGUUGCUGGAAAACAACUCCGAAAUAUUAUUCUAAUGGAAUGUACCUGUACCAUGCCACCAUUAAUAAUGAUGAGACUAAGGUAAAACAUCUGGUCCAUUUAAAAAGACAUAACACACAACUUUUAGGUAUGUAUUUAUUCAUUAAGUCCUUUCUUUACUUAAAACAAACCAACCAACCUGGAGUAGUUUCUUUGAUGACAAGGAUCCUCUCAUGCCUGUUCCCAACUCAUAUUCCAUACUUCAUGUUCAGAACUUUUUCAACAGCUUUUUUCAAAGUAAAAAGUUGAAAACUUUGGGCUCCACUAUGCUCAGGACUUUCUUAUGAAGCUUCACAUACAGCCUUUUACCACAAAAUAGAGAAGGUCUGGGCUCAACUCCCCGCCCCCCAAGUGGCCCAUUUCUGACCAUGCCUCUAUCCCUCCUACCUCACCCAUACCCUCACUCCCUGCCUUCUCACCUCCUAGGGUUUUGAGUUCCUUUACCCCUCCAUUUCUUCAAGCAAUAUCAGUCAGCUGGAAACUCAUCAACCCUCCUUGUCUGAAAAUGUCCUGCCCUUAAAGAGCCCAUGGUUAGUUAAGAAAGGCAGUAGAGUAAAUAAAUCUAACAAGAUUGAGAACCUUUAUUUUUUUAAAGUAUCAUUGAUAUACAAUCUUAUGAAAGUUUCACAUGAACAACAUUGUGGUUUCAGCAUUCACCCACAUUAUCAAGUCCUCUCCAACCCCCCACCUUGCAGUCACUAUUAGCGAGAACUUUUUAUUUCUUAAACAGCUACAUAAAAAUUCCUCAUGGAGGAGGACACCUUUGUGGUCUAAGGCUGAGAUUCCAGAUUCUUUUAAGAUGGCAGAUUCUCUUAAUGCAUGUGCUGUUUGUGUCCAGCAACACUGCUAAAGCUUCAUUUUAGUUUUGUUUACUCUGCUGUUUUUCAAAAUAGACUGUAUUAAUUUUAAAUAAUGAGUUUUAUCUUUCCUUUUAUUUCUAGAAUGUUACAGAAAUGAAUCAUACGGUAUAACAUUAUGAAUGGCUUUUCUUGGUAGAAAAUCCUCUGCAGAUCAGUCCAGAUUGUAUGAAUUAAUAAGUAUUUAAUUCCUUUUUAUUGCUAAGUGUGUAGUAUUCCACGGUAUGGACAUACCACAGUUUAACAGUUCACCCACUUAAGGACAUCUGGAUUGUUUCCAAUUUGGGGCUAGUAUGAAUAAAGCUGUUAUAAACAUUCAUUUACAGGUUUUUGUGUGAACACAGUCUUCAUCUCUCUCUGGGAUUAAAGUGUCAAGUGCAA